UUCAAGAUUUAUGGUAAGUGAUUUAAAUUAUGCAAAUUAUAAAGAGAGAUUGGAAUGUCUUGCAAGAUUCGACUAGUUGCAAAUCUGUGUUAUUUAUGUCUCUGAAUAUAUUAAGAAUACAUAAUCAAAAAAAUUUACAGGUAAUAAUGCCAUCUAGUUUUCCUUAAUGAAUUUACAGGAAAUAAAAUCAAAAGAUUUGCAAAUAUAAUUGAUUCCACUAGGUAUGUCCAUGAUGAGGAAAGCCCAGGAUGUCAAAUCAUAUUUCAAAACAACAGAUUUUCAAG